GAUCAGAUUGGAUCUGUAAAGCUUGACCGGAAGCAUGGGAUGAGCAAACAGCUCUGAAGACCGUAAACAUCACUCAGCCACCCAGAGCAGCAGGGAAAGUACUGCUGAUAAACAGAUUUCUCAGUAACAGGCUUCUCCUUUGACAUGGAUCAAGCCACAGUUGCUGCAGGUAUGGUCAUACCCUUAAAUCAGUACAGCAGGAACACCUUUUGGGGAUUAAAUUUCCCAUUUUCUCAUCCAUUUGCUUGUUCUUGAUGUGCUUUUACAGACUGUGCAGUUGCUUUGUGUCCAUCUUGAGAAGAGGGAGACAAAUUCCCCCCCAAGAGCAGAAGGCAGGAUGUGGAUUGUGCAUGGUGUCUGGAGUCUUUAACAAAAACAGGGAGGUGGAACAUUUAGAACCUGAUCAGAGUAUUCCACUACAAAGCUCAUACUGGCAAUAGUGUGGGAGUACAGCCUACAUGACAACAGUAGGAGGGACCUGGUA